UCUAGCAUGUGCGCGAGUCAUUGGGAAUCAAUAAACCCAGAGGCGCAAUGAAAGUGAAGCGCGGCGGCCUCGCGCCGCCGCCGAGGGAGGAUGGGCGCCGUGUCGCGGCGCCCCGCACUCCCGGAGCGUCUCGUUCUCAUCGCGAGAUGUAGGCGCAUCCAGAGCGUACACGCUGGGACCCGAAAGAUGGUGAACUAUGCCUGGUCAGGACGAAGUCAGGGGAAACCCUGAUGGAGGUCCGUAGCGAUUCUGACGUGCAAAUCGAUCGUCUGAACUGGGUAUAGGGGCGAAAGACUAAUCGAACCAUCUAGUAGCUGGUUCCUUCCGA
rnacentral:rRNA from 1 species